GGGAUAAUGACAUAUCUACCAUAUAGUGUUGUUGGGGAUUAUAUGAGUUAAUAUUGAUAGUAAGCAUAUACUUAUUGCUCAGCCCUGUUUGGAUACAGCACAUUAGAAAACAGAAAAGGCAGAGGCCCUGCACCUAAGAUGUAAUCCAGUUGCCACGACACACAUACAAACCAGAGCAUUAACAAUACCAAGUAACACUUGUUCCUGGACUAAGGGCAGAAUUGUGUAUUUAUAUUAUCUGUGGCCCCAACUGACAGAUGUUAAAGUCCUGAGUGCAACAAACAUCCCCUAGAGGGAGAAAUCCCUGGGGCCUAGCCAGCAGUACCUGCGUGCAGCCUUUUCCUUUCUCAGAGCACUCUCAAUCAAACGGCCCCCUUCCCAAAGCCCAGGAUUUUGUUCCCAGCCUCUGUUCCCCACUUAUACCCAUUUUUGGUUAACACUCCAUACAUCUGUAGGAUAGAUAAAAAGUGCCAGCCAGCAUGCACCCCCUCACCUCUCAUCCCCGCCUUUAUCCCCCUCCCACUCCACAAUCUGCUCUAAAAUCCUGCCCCUUUCCAGCUUGCAAUACCUUUGUUUAUCUUGGACUCUGUUUUUUUAAAAAAAAAUCACCCAGGAGGAUAGGGGCAAAAAGAAAGAAAAGGGCAAAAAAAAAAGGCUUUGAAGGGUAUGAGAGAGGGCCAACUCUGGGCCACCCUAAGGUAAUGGAGACAGCUGUGAAAGAGUAAUCACUGAGAAACACCAGCCGGGCCAGCUUCAGGAGGGUGAGCCCGAGAGGUGUAGAUGGAAAAGGUUUUCUGGGAGGAAGGUAGGAGGGAGGGAGGGAAAGAAGUGGGAAGGAACAGAGGAAAGGGCGUGCCUUGCAUGAUGCCUUGUGCUCCCAGCUGUUGACCAAAGUCGACCCCCACCAGGCUGGAGCUAGAGUCUGUCCCAGGCUCUGCUGUGGCCGUGGCCACAUAAGCAACAGGCACUCAAGUGUGACUACCACACAGAUUUAAGAGGCAACGCAGACCCAUGCUUCCCUGGUUCUUACAGAAUUUACAUGCCUUUUGUGGCUUUUACGUUCCCCCGACCCCAGGAUCAGUAUUUUUCUUCAAAGAAAUGUAGUUAUAAAGGACAUUUUGCUGUUUUUCUCCUUUCAGGAUCAAAUUCCCAGUUUGGCCCAUCUCCUACUUGCUUCCCUUUAGGGCACAGCACAGGGGUUUCCUCUAGACCUGGUUCCUACCUGAGGGCCUAGCUUGGCACCUCCCAGCCUGGGAUGCAGCCUCUUCCUGGUUAGACUGUCGGCCUCCUCUCACCUUACCCCUGAGGGUUCCUUCCCCAGUCACAGUCCUUCUCUCAAUAAGACGGCUCUAAGCUCUGACAUCCAAGGUUUGUGACCACUGACACCGAAAAGGGUGGGGACUAAUGCAUUUACACCCAGCACCCCCCUGCUCUAUCUGCAAUCAUCUAUCCCUCCUAUCAAAUCAGUUUCUUUCUCUUUUCAUAUGUCACUCCCACAUUCACAUCUUGCUUUUACAGAGUUCUCCCAUUUCCAGGUGCAAGAAUGAAAUACUCCUUGUCCAGCAUGACACAUGGAAAUGGGAGAAAAACAAACAUGCUCUUCUAAAGUCGGAUUGAGUCAAAUGGGCAGUCAGCCUGCUUCCUCUCCACCCCACACUUUGACAACAGCUAGCUUCAAGGGGGAACUCAGCUGUCAGGUGACCUUUAUUACUGAGCAGAAUCAAAAUGCACUUUCUCUCUGGAGUAUAAAAAAGCAACAGAAAAGCAAAGGGCAAAUCCUUUGCCAGCAUCAUCUGGUUUACACAGGGAAAAAGCAAAUACCAUUAGGAUGGUGUGUCCAUCACUGGCGCCUGCCUAUGCUGGCAGUUGACUCUGUCUUGUGUUUUGGGAUGAAGUUAAACAGCCCUGUGUUUGAAGGUGGACACACUAAUGCCCUGUCAAUUACUAAUCAAGUCUCCUUGCUGGAAAAUCCUGUUUCACAAGUGCCUUGUAGUAGAGGGUGAGGGAAGGGGGAGGCCAUGGAAAACAGGAGUUUUCUAAGGAGGCACAGAAACUGACUAUUCAUUAGGAAGUCAAGGAAACAUUGAAAAGUUUCAAACCAGCUAGAAAGGGCUGCCUUUGAAUAGUAAUGGGCUUAAGAAUGACAGGGACAGGUCAAAAGGACACAGGAACCAACCCAUAUAGGUUCUACUGGCCAAAUCUGGAACUGGAGCACCAAAAUAAACACUAGUGAUAAAAAGGAUUGCAAUCCACUGAAUGAAACAAGGAUAUAUGAAUCCACACUGUUACAAUUAUAAAAAAAGGGAGAGCUUUGCUACCAUACAAGGAACUAGAAAAAUGACCAAUGGACAACCAUCAUAACAAUAGUUGAUUCGAGCAAGAAUUAUCAAUGGAUGCUGAGACUAGUGGGUCAAAGUUUGAGGAGAACGGGACAGUUAGUUUCCAAGUAUUUCCCCAUCAUAUGCUUCGGGGCAAAACAGUGUCUUUGUAGCUGAGAAACCUGGCACAGAGCACCUGGAUCAAACGGUCAAAGGUAAGAUUCCAGGAAGGGGACUAACCCAGAGCAUGUGCCCUGAUGAUGCCCUCAGCUCAGCUGCACUUCUCUGAGCUUCCUGCUGAAUGAGCAGAACCGAGUUUGAAGCCUAGAGCCACACUGGUCAAGCCCAAGUUGAGGAGAUACUCUGCAGAACUACUGGAGCGAGCCCCGGGAGGAAAUCACCGCCGCUGCCUAGAAAGCUGCUCGCGGGCAAAGGCCCCGGAGCGGAGCUCGCCAGAACCCGCCGGCCGCCUGGAUGCAGCUGUCGUUCUGAGGACGUCCUGGGGACCAUUCCUCCAUCCCCAGCCCGCGGCGCCGGAGCUCUGGAGCGAAGCCACGGCUCCUGCCGUAGUCUGCCCCCCUCCAGGGAGGGGGCGGGCGCCGGUCCGUCGGCGGCCAGUGGGCGGCUGUCCGCCGCCUCUCCCAGCACGAGCUCCUCGCAGGCGGCGCCCGACCCCGGGCAGCGGCGGCGCGUGCGGAGCCCUUCUCGCUUGUCACUCAAAACGAAGCACUGCCCGGUGAGUGACGGUGACGACGGGUUUGUCUAAGUUAUUCCAGCCUAAGGUUACCCCUCUCCGAGACCAGUUCUCACACUACCCGGUGGUCCCGAGUGACGAGACAGGCCCACCGGCUGAGCGAGAUGGCGGGGACCCCGGCUCCUCCUCCCCGGCCUGGGAACCAGCAAAACCUCUGUUAAGCCAUUGGCAAGGAUCCACGAAGUUCUUCUUCAAGGGUCCUCCUGGUCAGUGAGCUUUAAAAGCAGCUGCUGGGAAGCGGUUUCGGUUUAUGGAAUUUGGAGUUCGUGGAAGAGAGUAACGAUAAAAUUAAACACACAUCAGCUCUGUUUGAAAAGCCAACUGGCUAAUGUUUAGAAAACAGUUGGGAUUGAAAGUAACCUUGUCAACAGGUGAAGUCAACAAACAUUUAGGGAGUUGCUUCUGGAUUUAGAGCACCUGGGUUCAAGAGGAAUGAAUAAAAAUAACUACCAGGCAUUCUGGAAGAAAUGGGAGACCGCCUGCCCAACUUCACAGGCAGUACCGAAUAGAUGUAGUAAUUAGUCUUCUGUCCUUGGGACAGAUGUUUCAUGAAUGGUCACAGUCAUCACACAGCAUCUUCACUGACUCCACAACUCACCACUGAACCCUUGGUAUGUACCAGGCACUGUGCUAGGUUCUGGGAAACAAUGGCAUCCUGGGUGCUCCCUGAGAGAACUGAGUCAUGAGUGUGAAUGUGUGUGUGUGUGUGUGUGUGUGUGUGUGUGUCUGUGUGUGCAUGUGCAUGUGUGUGCAUUGAGCUUGGGUAAAGGUGUGGAGCAGGAUGGAAUUUAUAUAGACACUGGGAGUAUUUCAUCCUACUGCACCGGCAUUCAGUUCAGUGGUUAGAGGAGUGUGGGGCCAGAGCUGUGGGUUGCAAUUCUACCUCUAGAAUUAUUAGCUUUAGUAGCACUUACUAGCUUGGCAACAUCUACGCAAAUUUCUCAGCUUCUGUGAGCUGCAGAUGGCUAAUCUGCAAAAUGGGAAUGAUACAGUGCCUGCUAGUCAGGAUUGGUUUGAACAUUAAUGAUAAAAGUAUGUAAGGCAUUUGCUUUAAUGUCUGGCAUACUGCCAGUACUUCUGAAUGAAUGUAAUGUAGUUAACAUUUGAGGAUUUAUUAUGUAUCAAAUACUGCUUUAGGAAUUUUUUUCUAUUCAUUCAUUUCAGCUUUACAAUACUUCUUUAAAGUGAGAACCAGUAUUUCAUAGAUAAGUAAAUGGAGGUAGAAGUUAGAAAAUGGUAUAGUAUAGCUAUUAUAAAUGCUGUUAUAAUUUUUAUUAGUAGUAGUAUUUCCUGGCUUCUGUCUUGGUAGGUUCUAUUGUUUUCUGAGUCCACCGAUUACGCAAUAAGAAACAGCCUGUGAUACAGUAACUUUUGCAGAAGGGAACGAUCUUGAACCGUGACAGAAUUUUAAGGUGUAAUUUCAGGGAUUGACCACCAGAUGGAAGUAUACAGCGGUUAUUUAAUUUCAAGGGAAGGACUUGGAUUGGCACAGGCGUCAGAAAUGAGAUUUGGCAAACACAGGGUAGGUGCUUUGUCUUGAGGCAAUGUUAAGGAGUAGGUGAUGUGGUAAAUAUUCCAAACAGUUAUUGUCACGUCUAAGUCCUGGUGGCCAUGGCGCCACCAUAUGGCAGGGCCUCCUCCAGCUCUGGCCAGGCGUAAAGUUUAUUCUUGUACAGAACAUGGUGGGGUCAAGGUCAAAAGGCUCCUGCAAUUCUAUAGAGGCCUCUGGUGACACAAUGACUGCUCACCAAACCCACAAACAGGAGGGUCUGGUUUGCUUUCUCCCACCUGUUAUGUCUGGACAACAAUUUUAUGGAAGAGGCUGGGGGAAGAAAGAGCCUGUGGGGUGGAGAGGGGUCCAGUUCCUCCCCCAGCUUAGAUAUGCUGUCCGUUUGGCUGCUGUUGGAGCCCCACCUUCCAGAUGAGGGCAUGUGGCCAUGAACUGAGAGAUAAAGGCAAGUGACAAAAAUACAUAUAGACCAAGGUUUUUGGGGAAGAAGCUCAUUUUUAUUUAAAGUAAAUUCAGUGUAUCGUGUGCUUGAAAAGCCAAAAUUUUCAUGAAUUAUUAGAAUUAAACAAAAGGCAUUACAGAAAUUUUGAGUUCUGUUAAUAGCUUGUGGUCAGCCCUCUAGAUACCUCACCAGUUACCUGGUCCUCCUGUGCCCCUGGUGGGAACUGUUUUAGGGAAAAUGCUUGAGAAGCUGCGCCCCUUUCCUCUGCCCUGUUAACUCUGGGAGUAAGCUCUUGUCUGGAGCAGGCGAGGUACAAUCCAUUAUUUAUUGAGUAAAGAUGGGUGUGUGCGUGCCAGGGAUCCUGGCAGACGUACUGAGGAGCAGAGGGCAUGGAGUGUAUGGAAUGAAUCUCCCUGGGUCUGAGUGGGGCCUGAUAGCCUGCAUUUCUAAUAGCUCCCAGGAGAUGCUGCUACUGCCUGGGGACCACACUUUGAGAACCACUGCUUUACUGCGGUAAGGAGGUCACGGCAGUCCAGGCCUCUUUGCUUUGCUGUGCUGCUGCUGGGUUGAGGGGAGGACUAACAUCCUAAGACCACUUGUGGCUUGGGGAGAUCCUGGCAAAUAGCAAGGUAGCUACUAUCACCACUGGCCCCUUUCGGUGACAAAAGAUGUGGCCCAAACCAAGUUGGCCAGAAUAUAAUUUUAUGCUGGUCAGAACAUGAUUUGGUCAGAAACUAAAACCUGUAGUCACUGUCCUCAAUCCCAUUUCUAACAGUACAGUUUUCCCAUCCUCUUAAAGUUUCCAAAAAUUGUGUUUAGUUUGUAGAAUUUGCUUUAAAACACUUUCUAGUUUAUGUUCAGUCUUUUAUCCUUCUCUGUUAGGGGUUGUCAUAAGGAAAAGUUAAAAUAACCAAUGUCUAGUAAGACAGGAUCAAUCUGAACAACCUAAGAGCUUGCUAGGUGGGGCACAGUGGAACAACCUAAGGCAUCACGCUGGUCCACUGCCUGUCUGUUCUCAGAUCAGCCUUCUCUUGCUCAGUUCCCCAGGGCAUCAUAAUGCUGAGGAACCCCUGCUCUCUGGAUGCAGGAGAUCCCACCGAUGGAAGGUGCUGGUAUUAGACUAGAGGGGGAAGAUGGGAAAAGCCAGCAUUCCUACCCUUCUCCCUGCUUUGGACAGUGUCUGGUCCAUCCUGGGAGUGGCUGUAUCUCCUCUGCCAGCAGCCCUGCCCUCCCUGGUGCUAUGGUGCCUCAGCAUGGCCUAAGCAGCUGGUUCUGUCUCACCCUAGGAUGGUGACAUCCUGCCCUGACCAGCUCUGCAUUGCCUCACUAUCUCCUGUGGUUUCCCAGCUCUUCUAAUACCUGCCUAACCCUACAUGCAGGCUAUAACUUCCCUCUGUUUGAAAGGAGGAAUUCCCAUUUCUGAUUGGACCUUGCCUAAUACAAACAAUAUCCUGGCCAAAGACUUUCUAGCUAAGUUACUACAUAACAUACAUCAGUGUUGGAAUUGAUAUUGGCAAAAAUUGGUAUAUAUAAUGUGCAUGUUGCUGCCUGCUGCAUGCCUGACGUAGGCAGGUCAUGGGGGGGUGGGAUGGGAGGAUGUCAACAGUGGUUGGGGAAGCCCUCUGUCAUCCUCAUCCAGUCCUUUUCCCUUUCCACCCAAAACUGGUCUGCUUGCUAUGCAGUGUAACUUCCAGACAGGUCUCCUAUCUUGCCUUCCAAGCCCCUAAACCCUUCCUGUAUAUAUUCUAAAAUUACCACCAGAGCAAGUAUAGAGGACAUAAGGACCUUCACACCAUUUUCAGUAUCUCAUGAAAAUGCUCAGGAUCAUUAAUGGAUGUGAUUAACAGUGGUUAACAAAUAAAUUUCAGUGUUCUUCAUGUCUGCUAAGAUGCAGAAGAUAUUCCCUAUUAUUAGCAUAGGUGGCAGGCCACAUUAAUUCAUUCCCUAUUAUCAAGCUAGCGCCAGGAAGUUAAUUUUUAAUAUGCCCCUAAAUGCUUCACUGAGGCUCCAAUUCAACAGUUGAAGAUGAAUACCUAAACCCUUGGAGGUGGUAAUGCAGAUGUCACCACGUGCUCAUCAGUGUGCUUCUGAAGUAUGUGUUGGGGAAGUCGUGCAAAUUAAAACAGCACUGAAGAGAAAGUGGCCUAUAACACCCUACAUACAGCUCAACUCCUCACACACAUAAUCUCAGUUACAAUGACAGAUUUCAUCAAUGAUAUGGGAUUAGACGUUUUCCCCAAAUUCUGCCUGGGUAGAAUCUUGUUCACUGAUGAACCAACAGACUGUCACUGAAAAUCAAACGAAGCCCGUGGUUCAGGGCUCAUCACACGGCACCUGAAGAUGCGGGCCAGGCCAUGACCUUUCGGAUGGCUUUUAGUCUCCGGGAAUAGGAGCAAGUGUACUUUGGUGAAUCCUUAGAUAAUGCGAACAUAGUUUAUUUGAGAAGAUUUUUAAAAUCUGAAAUGAAGAUGAUGUGUCUUCACUUAGCACAUGCAGUUCUAUGCCUUUGUCUGUGGGAGUCAGCAACCUCCUUCCAUCACGCUUCUGAUGGUCAUGGCAACAGCGUCACCUGAUAAAACGGCUCAGCCUGUUGGGCUGACCUACCUGACACUGGUUCAAGUUACAGAGGGAGCUCAGCAUCCCUCUUUAGUAGGGUCUCUGCUUAAAAACACCAGAAACACCUGUGGCCUUGGUACAUGAUCACUUUCAUUUUUACUGACAUGUUACCAGAAGGAGUGGUCGAACCACAUGUAUACAAUCACAUGGUUUCAAAGAGGAGGAAGAACUUAAAACUCCAGUAUACAGAAGACAGUCGAGAGCUGUAACUAAGGGAGAGGGCUCUGGAGUUAAAACCUGGAUUGGCUUGUUCUAAAUAAAUGUGUGAUCCUAAGAGGCUUAACUUCUCAGUUUUACCAGCCAGUAGAUGGGGAAAACAGUAACACUUAACCUCGCAGGGCUUCUGUGAGGGUCACAUGAUUUAAACAUGUCAUGGGCCUGGCAAAGCAUACCUGACAAGUAAUAGGUUCUUAAUAAAUGUUGACUGCUCUCUUAUUGAUGGUCAUUGUCUGGGAUAUUCUUUAACCACUGGGUGCUAGUCACUCUCUUUCCUGAAUUACUGCAACAUCCUGUCAUCUGUACCCACCUGUGUCUCCUGAUAUGUUUGCCACAUGGGAGGCACAUGAGCUUUCUAGGACACGACUCUGAAUCAUAUCAUUCCUCCUGCCUAAAACUUCUCACAGGUGCCCAACGUCCUCAGGAUAUUUAAUAACAUAUAAUCAUGAAGAUGAUGACUAAAAAUAUCAAACUUACACAGAGCUUCCUAUGCACCAGGCAUUAAUCUACGUGCUUUAUAUGUGCAGUCAGGCCUCUUUAUUCGUAGAUUCCAUAGCUGUGAAUUCAUCUACUUGCUAAAAUCUAUUUAUAGUCCCCAAAUUAAUACUCACUGUGCUUUUGUAGUCAUUUGUGGGCAUGUGUGGAGUGGCAACAUGUUUGAGUUGCCUGUUGUGCACGUUUCUACCUCACCUCAAACAAGGCAACAUGCUGGCUUCUGUGCCAGCUCUCAUUGUAAAUCCUCCAGCAUGAAGCCGGAGCUGGCUCAUGCUUCAUCUCACAGGUUUUAAAAUUGUAUCCCCAAACAACAAAAGUUAGAAGGAAAGCACAGAAUUCUGCUUUAACCUGAAUGAGCCAGAAAGAAAAAGACAUUGGGGAUUGCUCCUUCUACUGGUUUUAAUGCUUUAGGUAAUAAAAACUAUACUGAAAGACUGAGUAAUAGAAAAUUUAAUAGAAAGUGGAGAGAAUAGAUUAUUUUCCCAAGGCAGAAGAAGGAAAA